AUUGAACGCUGGCGGCAUGCCUUACACAUGCAAGUCGAACGGUAACAGGUCUUCGGAUGCUGACGAGUGGCGAACGGGUGAGUAAUACAUCGGAACGUGCCUAGUAGUGGGGGAUAACUACUCGAAAGAGUGGCUAAUACCGCAUGAGAUCUACGGAUGAAAGCAGGGGAUCGCAAGACCUUGUGCUACUAGAGCGGCCGAUGGCAGAUUAGGUAGUUGGUGGGAUAAAAGCUUACCAAGCCGACGAUCUGUAGCUGGUCUGAGAGGACGAUCAGCCACACUGGGACUGAGACACGGCCCAGACUCCUACGGGAGGCAGCAGUGGGGAAUUUUGGACAAUGGGCGCAAGCCUGAUCCAGCAAUGCCGCGUGUAGGAUGAAGGCCUUCGGGCUGUAAACUGCUUUUGUACGGAACGAAAAGCCCCGGGUUAAUACCCUGGGGUCAUGACGGUACCGUAAGAAUAAGCACCGGCUAACUACGUGCCAGCAGCCGCAGUAA
rnacentral:rRNA from 1 species